AGGAGUAACUAGCUUGAAGUGCCACGCAAAUGCUCUUUGCCACACUCCAGAACGAGGACUUAAAACCGUGACGAGGGACAGUACCUUAGUAGCCAACAGGGGAAGAGGGAGCCCAUCCUGAGAGAGAAAGCAGGCUUACGUAGCCUGUCUGGAGAGAGACGGCAGAUACUCUAUUACUAUAACCCCAACUUUAAAAGAGAGUAUCCCCACUGGCUGGAAAAGUGCAAGAGGAGAGUUGGCAUCAAACAGUGAGCCCCAGAUGCACCGGAGGUGGAUGGAAGGCACCCCUCCGAAGCCCAGACAGUCAGCCUGCAGGGGACAUGCAGGUGUCUCCACUUGUGAUGGCUGCACCCACCAAGCAAUGGGCUGAAGCACCUCCUGGCCUCAGCAGUGCCCAUCCAUCUCCACUGGCAGCUGCUCCCAUGCUUCCAGAGCCUUCUGGAGCAGAAGGCAGCAAGGGGUUCAUCCCUCUGGCCCUCUUCUCCCUACCACUACACAACAGCCAAACCCCGGAUGGCCUCCAGUGUGAUGCUUAUGCUCCUCCAUGGUUUGCAGUGCCCGUAGUGGCAGCAGCCUCAGUUUUGCCAAGGCCAAGGCCACCCCAUGGGGAAAGCCCAGCUGUCCCCCACUGCCCCACCAGCACCUGCAGCCCCCACGCUGCAGAUGGACUCCAGUGUAGCACAUCCUAGAGGGGUCACAGAGAGUCAGCAGCAAGUCAAUAGUGUUGUUAAUUAAUAGCAUUGUUAAUAGAUAGAGCUUAAUAGAGAUGCUAAGAAAGAGAGACAAGCAGAGUUGGUAAUAAACCAGACAAUUAACCAGUUGUCCUGUCCUGUUUGUGCAGCAGAAGCCCAGGCUGAGUUUAUAUUUCACCCACCAAAAUGAAAGCAAUGGGUCUACAAGCCCCUUAAUAAUUGUGCCCAACAAUCAAGCUGAGAUUCUUAGAAAUCAGAGAUCUUGCAGGUACUCUGAGAGCCUUCCAAGUUUGCAGAAGCUCCUCUAGAAGCAAACCACAGUGGGAACACAGGUCUGACCAAAAUGCAGCUGAUGGAAUUGUCCUUUUUAGAAAAGCUAACCUGCACCUGGGGACAUUGUGGCUAGUUAAACAGGUGUUACAAACCUCUGGGUUUGCAACAUGCUCUCCAGCCAAGGGCAUGCAUAUUGCUCCUCACUUCAUUUUUCCAAGCCCUUGGGCUGCAAAGUGGGUGAAAAGCAACAAGUAAUGUCUCCUCUGGGUGCUCCCUCCUGCCAGGUCACAGGUGCCACCCUGCAUCAUUGCUGCCAUGUGGCACGGGCCACAUGGUGACAUCUGAGACUGUCCCGUGAAACCUGCAGUUGGCCAGUUGGCACCACUUGGCCUUUGACUGGUGUAUGGCAAGACAAGGUCUGGCUGGCCAGAGUGAUGGUUGCCAAAGGGAGUUUGAGCCCAAAUGAGAGGGGAUGGUUUCAAAGGGAGUCAUCACCUGGUGUAAUCUCCUCCUACUCUUCCUUAGAGGAGCUGGGGGAGUUGUGAGGCUCAGCUUGUCUUGUCUCUCCUGAGUGGGAUGAUCAAGCAGCUGGGAACACUACUAUAGGAGGAAUGUCUGAAGAAGGGUCUUUCCAAGCUUGGAGUGAUGACAACACACCUGGAAGAGAUACUCCUGCUUCUUUUGAGUAGAGCACUGGUGUCCUGGUUUCGGCUGGGAUAGAGUUAAUUUUCUUCAUAGUAGCUACUAUAGGACUGUUUUGGAUUUGUGCUAAAAACAGUGUUGAUAAUGUGGAGAUUUUUUAGUUGUUGCUAAGUAGUGCUUACACUAGUCCAGGACUUUUUCAACUUCCUGUGCUCUGCCAGGUGCACAAGAAGCUGAGAGGGGACAUGGCCAGGACAGCUGACCCCAACUGACCCAAGGGAUAGUCCAUAUAAAAUGAUGUCAUGCUCAGGAUACAAAGCUGGGGGAAGAAGGAAAGGGCAGGACAUUCGGAGUGAUGGCAUUUAUCUCCCAAGUAACGGUUACACAUGAUGGAGCCCUGCUUUCCUGGAGAUGGCUGAACACCUGCCUGCUGAUGGGAAGGAGUGAAUGAGUUCCUUGUUUUGCUUUGCUUGUAUGUGCAUUUUUUGCUUUACCUAUUAAACUGUCUUUAUCUCGAGGAGUUUACUCACUUUUCUGAUUCUCUCCCCCAUUCCACCAUGGGGGAGUGAACAAGUGGCUGUGUGGUGCUUAGCUGCUGUCUGGGGUUAAACCAUGACAGCUGGCAAAACCGAAGACCUCUCCUUCCUCAAGCAGCUCUUGAAAAUUGCCCACAGCAAUGAGCUUCAGUCCGUUUGGUGGGUUGAUGAUGGAAUCUUUGUUGCCAUCAAUGAAGAAAUGUUCAAGAAGGAAGUGCUGGCCAGAAGAGGACCUGAGAGAGUUUUUGAACUGGACAGCAUGGAAAAUGUCUGUCAUCAGCUCAGCCUCCAUGGGUUGUGUGAAUUGCUGGAGGUGUCCUACUCAUCUGACUCCAGGGAUGAAUUUCCAGCAGAAUAAGCAGCUGCUCCUGCUCCUAGAAAGGUACAUCAGUUCUUCUGCACAGGAGCUGCUGGGAGAGAUGGGGAUGGCUGUAGAUGUUCUCACCUUCAUUUCUUUCUCAGGGCAUUUCUCAGGUGGAAACCCAGGACUGGUGAUGACUUAGCAGAACUGUAUCAUCACGUUUGAGACAGCCCAGGCUUGACGUUUUCAAUGCCUUUGAGAGUUCU